GACGGAAGGUGCAAGCGUUGCUCGGAAUCACUGGGCGUAAAGGGUGCGUAGGCGGCUGUGCAAGUCUGGCGUGAAAGCCCCCGGCUCAACUGGGGAGGGUCACGCGAUACUGGUCGACUCGAAGGCAGGAGAGGGUAGUGGAAUUCCCGGUGUAGUGGUGAAAUGCGUAGAUAUCGGGAGGAACACCAGUGGCGAAGGCGACUACCUGGCCUGUUCUUGACGCUGAGGCGCGAAAGCUAGGGGAGCAAACGGG
rnacentral:rRNA from 1 species